UACUUUUGUUAUAAAAAAAACCCUGAAAAAUCUCAACGUGCAUGUAAUUCUAACCCUGUAGUCGUUGAGUGGACGAGUGGUUUACAAAAGGUGUUUCAUGGAUGCAUACCUCUUUUUUUAUGCCAGUUCCUUGAGGACGUGGCUGAAUAGACACCUCUAAGGAACCCUGUCAAACUUGAAAGGGAAUGGAGAGGAGAUGUGAGAGAGGGGAUCAAUGAUUUUCGCUUCCUUUAGUUGGACUGGAUGCAAAAAACAGAUGGUUAGGAGUAGCAAACAACCUUGGUCAGUGGAGUUUUUUUUUUUUUGGCUUAGGUUUUGAUUGUAGAUUUUGGUUUAGUGGCUACCAUUCUUGACUGCACUUUCUUUGUCUGAUAUCAGGUUUGGUGUUGAUUGGAGAGAAAAAAAGCGUGUUACCCUUGUCAAAGAUCUUUUCCCCUGUAAGAGAUCAAGACAAGCAUGACUAAGGGCUUCAAAAGGCUAGAAGUCUCCGCCAUUACCAUGAGAACCAAUUUUUACGAGGAUUCCAAGGUUUGAAAAUAGCAUGAACAAUGACAAGCUUUUCUAGUGGUUGCUUAAAAAGAGUUGUUGUCCUUUUCUUCACUGUUUCCUUCGUGGUUGUAGGUCAAAGUACACUGAUCACACAACCUUUCCAAUACUGAAAUGAUUUUAUCUAGAAGUUUGACUUGCGUAUAACUUGUGAACCCAUACUUCCUUUCUCUGCUUCCAUCUUGACAUCCCCAUUAAAUGUUGCCCCAUUUUGUGCAUUGCAUGUUUUUUAUUCUUUUUGUGCACCUCUUGCUGAAGUAGAAUAAACAUUGUUUAUAUUACUCAAAAAAAUUUAUGUUGUCUAUUUGUUUUCAUUUUAAUGCUUUAUUAGCCUUGCGUUCUUUUAAUUCAACAUUAUUGGUUCACUAUUUUAAAUAGAGGGUGGUUAUUCCUUUUUUGUACAUG